CGCCCUUUGAAUUUCUUAACAUAAAGGGUCCUGCCUGCCCAGUGACCAAAAGUUAAACGGCCGCGGUAUCUUGACCGUGCGAAGGUAGCAUAAUCACUUGUCUCCUAAAUAGAGACUGGUAUGAAUGGCAAGACGGAACCUUACUGUCUCUUUCUCUUUAAUUUGAAUUUCACAAUCCCGUGAAGAGGCGGGAAUUAUCUCGUUAGACGAGAAGACCCUGUCGAGCUGAAGUAAAGUCUUAACCUUUACUCACCCUUAACCCUACCUAAUAAAAUAAACUUAGUAGAAUAAUAAAGGCGUAAAAGAUUAAAACUCACUUUGAUUGGGGCAAUCACGGAGAAAGAAAAUCCUCCGUUACUAACUGUUUAUUAUAUAACUUAGAUUAAAGAGCUAUAACUCUAAAAUCGUGAAACGAAGGAAUGAUCCACUCAUAGUGAUCAAAAGAACAAGUUACCGCAGGGAUAACAGCGUUAUCUUUUCUGAGAGUUCAUAUUGACGAAAAGGUUUGCGACCUCGAUGUUGGAUCGGGACAUCCUAAGGGUGCAGAAGCUUUUAAGGGUUGGUCUGUUCGACCAUUAAAGUCCU
rnacentral:rRNA from 2 species